rnacentral:rRNA from 1 species
GACGAACGCUGGCGGCGUGCUUAACACAUGCAAGUCGAACGCUGAAGCUCAGCUUUUGUUGGGUGGAUGAGUAGCGAACGGGUGAGUAACACGUGAGUAACCUGCCCCCUUCUUUGGGAUAACGCCCGGAAACGGGUGCUAAUACUGGAUAUUCACUGGUCUUCGCAUGGGGGUUGGUGGAAAGGGUUUUUCUGGUGGGGGAUGGGCUCGCGGCCUAUCAGCUUGUUGGUGGGGUGAUGGCCUACCAAGGCUUUGACGGGUAGCCGGCCUGAGAGGGUGACCGGUCACAUUGGGACUGAGAUACGGCCCAGACUCCUACGGGAGGCAGCAGUGGGGAAUAUUGCACAAUGGGCGCAAGCCUGAUGCAGCGACGCCGCGUGAGGGAUGGAGGCCUUCGGGUUGUGAACCUCUUUCGCUCAUGGUCAAGCCGCAACAAUGGUUGUGGUGAGGGUAGUGGGUAAAGAAGCGCCGGCUAACUACGUG